rnacentral:rRNA from 1 species
UGGUGAGGUAACGGCUCACCAAGGCGACGAUGCGUAGCCGACCUGAGAGGGUGAUCGGCCACAUUGGAACUGAGACACGGUCCAGACUCCUACGGGAGGCAGCAGUGGGGAAUAUUGCACAAUGGGCGAAAGCCUGAUGCAGCAACGCCGCGUGAGUGAUGAAGGCUUUCGAGUCGUAAAGCUCUUUGAUCAGGGAUGAUAAUGACAGUACCUGAAAAACAAGCCACGGCUAACUACGUGCCAGCAGCCGCGGUAAUACGUAGGUGGCGAGCGUUGUCCGGAAUUACUGGGCGUAAAGGAUGCGUAGGUGGAUAUUUAAGUGGGAUGUGAAAUCCCCGGGCUCAACCCGGGAACUGCAUUCCAAACUGGAUAUCUAGAGUGCAGGAGAGGAAAGCGGAAUUCCUAGUGUAGCGGUGAAAUGCGUAGAUAUUAGGAGGAACACCAGUGGUGAAGGCGGCUUUCUGGACUGUAACUGACACUGAGGCAUGAAAGCGUGGGUAGCAAACAGGAUUAGAU